rnacentral:tRNA from 1 species
GCCCGAGUGGUGGAAUAGGUAGACACGCAGGACUUAAAAUCCUGUGAAUAGCAAUAUUCGUGCGGGUUCGAUUCCCGCCUCGGGUACCA